rnacentral:rRNA from 1 species
CGCGAAUUGCCCUUCGGGGUGCACCAGGCGCGAAAACUUCACAAUGGGAGAAAUCCCGAUGAGGGAAUUCCAAGUGCUAGCACUAUGUGUUAGCUGUUCUUUUGUCUAAAAAACAGAAGAAGUAAGGGCCGGGUAAGACGGGUGCCAGCCGCCGCGGUAAUACCCGCGGCCCGAGUGGUGGUCGAUAUUAUUGAGCCUAAAACGUCCGUAGCCGGUCUUGUAAAUCCUUGGGUAAAUCGGCCAGCUUAACUGUCCGAAGUCCGGGGAGACUGCAAGACUUGGGAUCGGGAGAGGUCAGAGGUACUUCUGGGGUAGGGGUAAAAUCCUGUAAUCCUGGAAGGACCACCGGUGGCGAAGGCGUCUGACUAGAACGAAUUCGACGGUGAGGGACGAAGCCCUGGGGCGCAAACGGGAUUAGAUACCCCGGUAGUCCAGGGUGUAAACGCUGCGGGCUUGGUGUUGGGGGUCCUUUGUGGGCGCCCAGUGCCGGAGAGAAGUUGUUAAGCCUGCUGCUUGGGGAGUACGUCCGCAAGGAUGAAACUUAAAGGAAUUGGCGGGGGAGCAC